rnacentral:tRNA from 1 species
GCCUUCGUGGUGUAGUGGUCAGCACGCUCGACGCGUAACCGAGAGGUCCGUGGUUCGAUUCCCGGCGAAAGCU